CUGCGAAUGGCUCAUUAUAUAAGUUAUCGUUCAUUUGAUAGCACCUCGCUACUUGGAUAACCGUGGUAAUUCUAGAGCUAAUACAUGCUGAAAAUCCCGACUCCGGAAGGGAUGUAUUUAUUAGAUUAAAAACCAAUGCCCCCUGGGCUCUCUGGUGAUUCAUGAUAACUGCUCGAAUCGCAUGGCCUUGCGCCGGCGAUGGCUCAUUCAAAUUUCUUCCCUAUCAACUUUCGAUGUUUGGGUAGUGGCCAAACAUGGUUGCAACGGGUAACGGAGGGUUAGGGCUCGACCCCGGAGAAGGAGCCUGAGAAACGGCUACUACAUCCAAGGAAGGCAGCAGGCGCGCAAAUUACCCAAUCCCGACACGGGGAGGUAGUGACAAUAAAUACUGAUACAGGGCUCUUUUGGGUCUUGUAAUUGGAAUGAGUACAAUUUAAAUCCCUUAACGAGGAACAAUUGGAGGGCAAGUCUGGUGCCAGCAGCCGCGGUAAUUCCAGCUCCAAUAGCGUAUAUUAAAGUUGUUGUGGUUAAAAAGCUCGUAGUUGAACCUUGGGCCUGGCUGGCCGGUCCGCCUCACCGCGUGCACUGGUCCGGCCGGGCCUUUCCCUCCGCGGAACCCCAUGCCCUUCACUGGGCGUGGCGGGGAAACGGGACUUUUACUUUGAAAAAAUUAGAGUGCUCCAGGCAGGCCUAUGCUCGAAUACAUUAGCAUGGAAUAAUGGAAUAGGACGUGCGGUUCUAUUUUGUUGGUUUCUAGGACCGCCGUAAUGAUUGAUAGGGACAGUCGGGGGCAUCAGUAUUGCGCCGUCAGAGGUGAAAUUCUUGGACCGGCGCAAGACUAACCACUGCGAAAGCAUUUGCCAAGGAUGUUUUCAUUAAUCAGGAACGAAAGUUAGGGGAUCGAAGACGAUCAGAUACCGUCGUAGUCUUAACCAUAAACUAUGCCGACUAGGGAUCGGACGAUGUUAUUUUUUU
rnacentral:rRNA from 1 species